CGUGAGUCCCCCUAUAGCCUGGUGGCCUCCAACACCCUGCUGGUGGCCCGGCCGUCCUGGCCCUCCCUGGCCAGCCAUCCACCACCACCUUCACCCGGCAGCCGUCCACCACCACCUUCACCCGGCAGCCGCUGCAGCGGAACAAUGGGAGGAUCACAGGCUACGUGAUAUUCCUCACCACGGACCAAACCGUCAGUGAUUGGGUGACGGGGGAAGUGACGGGGGACUGGCUCACCCUUACCGUCCAUGGACUGACGCCUUCAAGGAAGUAUUUGCACAAGAUGCACUCUCACAAUGUCAAAGGUUUUGGUCCAUUCUCCUCCGUGGAAAGCUUCACGACUCUUCCAGCUGUUGACAAGAGCAUCGGUGAGCCCCCAGGCUGGUGUGUGGAGCGAGAGGCCUGAUUGUGCUGGUGAUCGCUGGCGUGGCAGGAGCCAUGACCAGCUGGGGGCCUUCUUGGCCACCACACUGUACUGCCGCGGGUCAAGGCGGAGCCCAGGCCAAGCAUUGUUCUUGGCGGCAGCUGCAGUGAGAGCAACAAGCCUGGCGUCCAGCCUCCAGACCUGUGGAUCCAUCACGGCCACUUGGAGCUGAAGAACUUUGACAAGGGUGAGCACAGCAACUCCCCCAACCACGCCUCCAUCAUCCAGCACACAGAUCUCGCCCCUGAGAUCUCACAGGUGUUGGUGGAGAAGAUACGCCUUGCAAUGUCUGCAGUUGGUUCGAGUCUGGAAUUAGGCGGCGUCGUGCGUAGCGUAGGACAUAGGAAUACCCCACGGCAGACGUCACCAGCAGAAGAACCAGGAUCACGACAAUGGCGAAGACAAUCCACCAAUGGAUUGCGGGUUGAAAGGGCUGAUCCGGCUCGACCACAUAAUUUAGGGGCUGCAAGCCAGCUGUUAGCUCCUGUAGGGGGAUGGACUCAGCACUGCGAAGAGAACCUUGCCGAAGCAUCAAUAUCCCAUUAUCCGUCAGGCUGACAGUAUGUCUGUUUACAGGAUGGGUAGGGCAUGUGAGUGUCAGAGUGAUGGGGGAGGCAAGUGAACAGGUCCAGUAGCCAGGACCUUUUAUAAACAUAGGGGGAAAUGUUUUCAAGAUCAUUGUGUGGCAGAGGUUGAUCACUGACUCAUGUUUCAAGAAAGCAGCCGAUUCACAAGAGGCUGCGUCACUAGCCUCAUAGACGGGGCCUGUGGGAGGACAAACUAACAUAUGGUUAUUCUUGUUACAGUGUUUUAUACUAGAAAGCAUAAAAUAUAUUUUCCUAUUCUCACUGAAGGCAAUACAUCUUGAAUCAACACUAUACAUAAGAAAGUAAGUGCUAUUCUGCACAGAAAAUGGAAGGGAGUCGAUUCGAAAGACAUCAAAGGUGUCAAUCGGAUCUCCUCGCAAAGGUUUGGUGAAAUAGAAAUUACGAGAAUCGUGCAAAGCCGUUGUCCUGGAGGACAGUUAUUACAUCCCUAUAUAGAGCUAAAAAAUCAAGAACUGCAAGGCACAAAAGACCUGGAGGCCGAGCCUAGGCUUCCUUUAAUGUACUGAACAACUGUUUGUUUCACAUAAUGGUUGGAGUUAUGUAUGUUUGCAGGGGAGCCUGCAGACUCAAAUAUAAAUCUUGUAUACCUGGUCUUAUGUGUCUCAAUGCUAAGUCAAAAUAUAACAAUUCUUGU